rnacentral:rRNA from 1 species
CCUACGGGUGGCAGCAGUGGGGGAUAUUGCACAAUGGGGGGAACCCUGAUGCAGCGACGCCGCGUGGGUGAAGGAGCGUUUCGGCGCGUAAAGCCCUAUCGGCAGGGAAGAAGGAGGACGGUACCUGACUAAGAAGCCCCGUCUAACUACGUGCCAGCAGCCGCGGUAAUACGGGGGGUGCAAGCGUUGUCCGGAAUCAUUGGGCGUAAAGAGUUCGGAGGCGGCACGUAAAGUCUGGUGUUAAAGGCAGAGGCUCAACUUCUGUACGGCACUGGAAACUUGCGAGCUAGAAUGCGGUAGAGGUAAAGGGAAUUCGUGGUGUAGCGGUGAAAUGCUUAGAUAUCAGGAGGAACAUCGGUGGCGUAGGCGCUUUACUGGGCCGUAAUUGACGCUGAGGAACGAAAGCCAGGGUAGCAAAUGGGAUUAGAUACCCCUGUAGUC